UGUAGGCGGAUAGUCAAAAAUAGAGUUAAAGACUGAGGAUGGCCCUCUUAAAUCUGUAUUCACUAACUAUCUGAGUUUUAGAGGCGAAAUUUUGAAUUCCUUAAGUAAGGGUAAAAUUGUUGAUAUUGGAAGACAUUCGAAGGCGAAAGCAGUAAUCGAUCUAGAUCUGACGCUAAGGUACUAAAGCAUGGGUAUGAAAAGGAUUAGAGACCUUGUAGUCCAUGCCUUAAACAAUGAGUGUUCAACGUCCUUAGGCUUGACAGGUAAUCUCCUCUGUAUAGGUUUUUUAAUCAAGUAAUGAUUACCUUGGGCGUAGCCUUAGGGGGUUUAAAGCUAACGCGUGAAACACCGCCUGGGGAAUGUGGCCGCAAGGUUAAACUCAAAGGAAUUGACGGAGGCUUGUACAAGG
rnacentral:rRNA from 1 species